AUUGAACGCUGGCGGCAGGCCUACCACAUGCAAGUCGAACGAGCGGCGGACGGGCGAUUACUGCCUGGGAAACUGCCCGAUGGAUGGGGAUAACUCCUGAAAACGGUAGCUAAUACCGCCUACCAUCAGCAGUGUCCGAAUGGGAUUAGAGUGUUGGAGGGGUAACGGAUACCCAAGGAGACGAUCCCUAGCUGGUCUGAGAGGAUGACCAGCCACACUGGAACUACGACACGGUCCAGACUCCUACGGGAGGAAGCAGUGGGGAAUAUUGCACAAUGGGCGAAAGCCUGAUGCAGCCAUGCCGCGUGUAUGAAGAGGGCCUUCGGGUUGUAAAGUACUUUCAGCGGGGAGGCGUUACCCGCAGAAGAAGCACCGGCUAACUCCGUGCCAGCAGCCGCGGUAAUU
rnacentral:rRNA from 1 species